UACGGGAGGCAGCAGUGGGGAAUAUUGCACAAUGGGCGCAAGCCUGAUGCAGCCAUGCCGCGUGUAUGAAGAAGGCCUUCGGGUUGUAAAGUACUUUCAGUCGUGAGGAAGGUGUUAAGGUUAAUAACCUUAGCAAUUGACGUUAGCGACAGAAGAAGCACCGGCUAACUCCGUGCCAGCAGCCGCGGUAAUACGGAGGGUGCGAGCGUUAAUCGGAAUUACUGGGCGUAAAGGGCACGCAGGCGGUUAAUUAAGUUGGAUGUGAAAUCCCCGGGCUUAACCUGGGAAUGGCAUUCAAGACUGGUUAGCUAGAGUCUUGUAGAGGGGGUAGAAUUCCAUGUGUAGCGGUGAAAUGCGUAGAGAUGUGGAGGAAUACCGGUGGCGAAGGCGGCCCCUGGACAAAAACUGACGCUCAUGUGCGAAAGCGUGGGGAGCAAAACAGGGAUUAGAUACC
rnacentral:rRNA from 1 species